UCCAUAAGAAAAAAGGCUUCAACAACUCCUCUAAAUCUUUUCAUUUCUAUUUUCAUUUUUAUUUUUAAAAUCAAGAGACAUAAUAGAAACUCACUCUUAAAAAAUAAAAACUCUCUUUCUUCUUCCAACCAAAUUCUGAUUUUGUACUCAAAACUUUUUUUUAAUACCAUUCAAUGAGAAGUUAUUAUGGUGUAUUAAAUACUAUUAAUCAGAAAAACCAAAGGUGUAAUUGGGUUUUGAUCAGCGUACUAUUCCUAUUUGGUGCUCAUGUGAGAGUUUCUUAGGUUUUGGUAUCUCUCCAGGAACUGUUAUCACUUGGGGAAGCAACUACUAUGUGAUGCGGCUUUGAAGUUGCCAGCAGAUAAGGAAGCUACGCCUAGAGAUGCAGAAGGGGUGGUGGGUGCAGAAAUGAGAAACAACCCUAAUCUUGUAACACAUCCUGGUGGUGUGGCUGCCUCUGUUAUUGCUACUGCUAGGCUCAACCAGACCAAUGACUAGGUUGAUUAAAAUACCCAGAACUCAGGAAUGUCAGACUAGCUUCAUAGUGAUGGUGUAGCUAGCAGUCUUAGGGAAGUUUCUCCAUUUCAGUAGACUGUAUGUGAAGUUGUAAACUUCUGUGCCUUAUAAUGUGUUAAUAGUGUUGCGGACCUCGCUUUUAUAAAUGAGUGUUGAGCUUAUGCAGUAGCACAAGCAUCUAACUGUCCGUUGUUAAAUGUGCAUCUCUUCUCUAUUUCCAAAAGAUGCUUUUAUUACAGAAUUUCUAGGUUUUAGUGGGAUUUUCCCAUAUAUACACUGCUUUAUGUUGGUGAAUAGUCUGCCUUUACAUUUGGAAAUUCCUUUGUUUUUAUACUUGUACUGAAAUUUUGGUGAGUUGGGUAUUUCAGAUAUGUGAUUAUAGAUAAGAAAAGUGGGAAGAAUUUGUUCUAU